rnacentral:other from 1 species
CACGGUCUGAGGUAUUUGUGAGCUUUUUAUUUUGAACCUACGGUGUAGCAAAGGGAGUCCAAUAGGGAAUGUAAGAUAUCGGGCCCAGAGUAAGACCAAAUGGCAGGGGAAGAUAGAAGCAUUCAUGCGGACACCCACCUAUCGAGAGAUAGGUGUCAAAAUGAGAGCAACGGUAUCUUGGAUUAGAA